rnacentral:misc_RNA from 1 species
GAUGAAGAACGUAGCGAAAUGCGAUAAGUAAUGUGAAUUGCAGAAUUCAGUGAAUCAUCGAAUCUUUGAACGCACAUUGCGCCCUCUGGUAUUCCGGGGGGCAUGCCUGUUCGAGCGUCAUUAUAACCACUCAAGCUCUCGCUUGGUAUUGGGGUUCGCGGUUUCGCGGCCCCUAAAAUCAGUGGCGGUGCCUGUCGGCUCUACGCGUAGUAAUACUUCUCGCGAUUGAGUUCGAUAGGUCUACUUGCCAGUAACCCCCAAUUUUUACAGGUUGACCUCGCAUCAGGUAGGGAUACCCGCUGAACUUAAGCAUAUCAAUAAGCGGAGGA